rnacentral:rRNA from 1 species
UACGUAGGCAGCGAGCGUUGUUCGGAAUUACUGGGCGUAAAGAGUGUGUAGGCGGUGCUCCCAGUCUGUUGUGAAGUCUCCCGGCUUAACUGGGAGGGUGCAGCGGAAACUAGAGUGCUAGAGGGUGGGAGAGGUAAGCGGAAUUCCUGGUGUAGCGGUGAAAUGCGUAGAUAUCAGGAGGAACACCUGUGGUGUAGACAGCUUACUGGACCACUUCUGACGCUGAGACACGAAAGCGUGGGUAGCAAACAGG